GACUGUACGUUGGGAAGGUUAGCAGAGGGGAGGGAGGCCUCCACUGUCACACUGAGCGCGGUCCCGGCUCCUUGUCCCUAUCCACCCCUCCCCCGCCCCCAGCACCCCGGCAGCCCCUCGCUGUCCCCUUCACUUCCAUCUCCAAGAAAGUGGACCUGACCCCUACAGCAUCAUUUUGGCCAAAAGUCGUUCUCUCCCCUUUCUGAAGGCUUAUUUGUGGUCCUUUUUAGGAUUUCAAAGCCCCAAACAGAUCUACCCACUGAGGCGGCGGAGAAAAGGAGUUCGGCAGGUGCAGCGCUGUCAGGAGAUGAGACAAGCUAGACACACACCUGCUCUGAGACAGGUGCUCAGUCAGUGCUUGUUGAUGGAUGCAUGGAAGCCUGGGAGGGAGGAGGGAGGUGUGGCCUCUGGAAAAGAUGUGAGAGAAAGUUUUCUGAAAGAAGGAUAAGAGUGGUAUCUGCACAUCUGAGCUAUGAAUUCCGCGUAGGAGACGCAUUUCCAUGAGAAACGGGUAAACGUUUGCGAGACUGUGGCUGACCCUUUUUUUUUAUUAUCCAUCAAGUAUAUCUCUUUUUACCAUCUGAUGGCUUGGCGUCAGGACCAUUCUUUUUUCAAACAAAAUAAAUGUGCCUGCAACGUGGCA
rnacentral:lncRNA from 1 species